AGAUGUUCCUUUCUCUGACGUGUUCAGAAUCUGUUUUUCAUCGUUUCGUUCGGAGCGCUCGCUGUGGAAACUUUGCAGACACCAUGGGCGCUCGGCAGUCCGUCAUUCAUAUUACGAACAAGACUGAGGGCUACACCCUUCAAAACCCCAGUCUGCAUCUUGUUAGCGGACUCUGCCAAAUCCCUUUGCCAACAAAACUUGGGCCUUCUGAAUGUGGCAGCGCUCUGUUCUCUAAGACUGGCGGCACAGCGCGAGGAUCUGUUGGAGUCUUCACCUACGAUCUCUACGAUACAGCUGCAGACAGAGCUGAUAAGAAAAUAGCCGUCC
ensembl:lncRNA